CCUACGGGGGGCUGCAGUGAGGAAUAUUGGUCAAUGGCCGGAAGGCUGAACCAGCCAAGUCGCGUGAGGGAAUAAGGCCCUAUGGGUCGUAAACCUCUUUUGUCAGGGAGCAAAGGCGUCCACGUGUAGACGAGAGGAGAGUACCUGAAGAAAACGCAUCGGCUAACUCCGUGCCAGCAGCCGCGGUAAUACGGAGGAGGCGAGCGUUAGCCGGAUUUAUUGGGUUUAAGGGGAGCGUAGGCCGGCUUUUAAGUCAGCUGUGAAAGUCCGCGGCUCCACCGUGGAAUUGCAGUUGAAACUGGAGGCCUUGAGUGCACACAGGGAGGCAGGAAUGCAUGGUGGAGCGGUGAAAUGCUUAGAUAUCAUGAAGAACACCGAUUGCGAAGGCAGUUCACUGAACUGCAACUGACACUGAGGCUCGAAAGUGUGGGUAUCAAACAGGAUUAGAUACCCCUGUAGUC
rnacentral:rRNA from 1 species